rnacentral:rRNA from 1 species
CAGCAGCCGCGGUAAUACGAAGGGUGCAAGCGUUAAUCGGAAUUACUGGGCGUAGAGCGUGCGUAGGCGGUUUGUUAAGUCUGCUGUGAAAUCCCCGGGCUCAACCUGGGAAUGGCAAUGGAUACUGGCAAGCUAGAGUGUGUCAGAGGAUGGUGGAAUUCCCGGUGUAGCGGUGAAAUGCGUAGAGAUCGGGAGGAACAUCAGUGGCGAAGGCGGCCAUCUGGGACAACACUGACGCUGAGGCACGAAAGCGUGGGGAGCAAACAGGAUUAGAUACCCGCGUAGUCCCUGUCUCUUAUAC